rnacentral:rRNA from 1 species
UCGAGGUUCUAUUGGGCAGGCGAGGGAGACAAGCAGAAGUAUCAUAUGGUGAGCUGGCCCGACAUUUGCAAACCCAAAGACCAUGGUGGCCUUGGGAUCUUGUCAUCUCGUCGCAUGAACAUUGCUCUCCUGACCCGCUGGCUGUGGCAUAUCCCCAAUGGGGAGGGAGGCCUCUGGCUCACCAUCAUCUGUAAUAAAUACCUUCGGGGCCAACCUCUGGCCUUUUGCCAGCGUAUGGGUGGAUCCCAGUUUUGGCAGUCCAUGAUCCAGCUUCUGCCUGUCCUCCGCAUCAACACGUCCAUCUCUGUUGGCUCCGGGUCCUCGACCAUGUUCUGUUUCGACCGAUGGCUUGGGGACUCCCACCUGGCUGUGCGAUUCCCAGGACUCUUUGCCAUUGCGGCCGACCCUCGGGUCUCUGUCGAGACGGCCCUUAUUGACUUAGGGCGUCUUGCUUUCCAUCGUCCCUUCCGCCCCCUCGAGGUGGCUGCUUGGGACCGCUCCUCCAAGACGUCGCCCUAA